rnacentral:lncRNA from 1 species
GAGUACAACAAAUAUAGCAAAUAAACUUAGGCAGUAGAACUGCACUUGUAUGCAAUAGAUCUACUACACAUGGAGAGAAACAGAGAGGUUUAGGGGAUUAGGAUUAGACCGUCGAGGCGUCCAUGGCGUCGGUGUUGAGGCAGUGGUGGCGCUUCCCGACGCUGCUGCACUGGCCGAUCGGAUGGCACUAGGGUUAGAGUCGAGUGGGGCAAGCAGCAUGCUGUGGCGAACUUCCGCACCGUGCUUGCGGCCCCCACUUCUAUACUUAUAGUGCAACGCGCCAGGGGCCCACCACUCCAAUGGGUGGUUGAGCGCCCCCGAUCAGGGCUUGGUCAAAGGGGAACUGGCUCCAACCGUUGGGCUGGUUUAGAGAUCAACCUAACAUUCUCCCCCUUGAUCUUAUCUAUGCUCUUAUGCUUCACCAACCCACCUCAUCACAAAUAAAUAUAUUGGACAUGUUUCAUCAUGACAGUAAUUACCGUUAGAUUGGACAGCCACAAACACUUUUCUGUUUAGAGAUGAAUUCUUGCCUUGGGCCCCUUACUAUCCAGGAAUCACAGGCUUUCCCUUAAACCCAUGCCGGCUAUAUGUUCUCUGAACACAUUGGGCGGUAAGCCUUUCGUAAGCGGAUCCGCUAGCAUCUUUUCUGUGCUUAUAUGUUCAAGACUUAUGACGUGAUCCCGGAUUUUAGCCUUCACAACAUAAUAUUUUAUGUCAAUGUGCCUGGUGGCAUUGCUUGACUCAUUGUUGUGAGCAUACAACACUGCUGGCUCGUUGUUACAAUACAACUUUAGUGGUUUAUCGAUGCUGUCGACCACCUCUAAACUGAGUAUAAAUUUCUUAAGCCAAUUCACCUGUCCUGAUGCCUCAUAACAAACAAUAAACUCAGCAUACAUUGUGGACGAUGCAGUGACUAUUGUUUGUUUUGAGCUUUUCCAUGAUAUGGCUCCUUGCGCGAGAGUGAAUAUAUACCCUGAGGUAGACUUUCUAUCAUCUCCCGCGUAAUCAGAAUCUGAAUACCCUACUAUUUGUAGGUCAUCAGAUCUUGUAUAAGUCAACAUGAGCCCUUUCGUGCCUUGCAAGUACCUUAGGACUUUCUUUACUAGAUUCCAGUGUUCCAUACCUGGAUUACUUUGAUAUCUGCCAAGUAGCCCGGUCACAAAAGCCAGGUCUGGGCGUGUGCACACUUGAGCAUACUGUAAGCUUCCGACAGCUGAAGCGUAUGGAACGGCUUGCAUGCGAUCGCGCUCGAACUUGCUCUUGGGACAUUGAUGUUCCCCAUACUUGUCACCUUUUACAAUAGGAGCAGGUGAAGGUCUACACUUAUGCAUAUUGAAUUUCUUCAAUAUUUUCUCUACAUAUGCCUCUUGGGAUAAUCCCAAUACCCCUCGACUUCUAUCUCGGUGAAUCUUUAUGCCCAAGACAAAAGAAGCUUCACCUAAAUCUUUCAUAUCGAAAUUUGAAGACAAAAAUAUGUUGGUUUCCUGCAGGCUGCAGCAGAGUGACAUCACUACUGGCUAGUAGAAUGUCAUCUACAUACAGUACUAGGAAAAUGUAUUCCCAUUCUUAAACUUUGCAUAUACGUAAUUGUCCUCAACGUUCUCUUUAAACCCAAACUUUCUGAUAGUCUUAUCAAACUUCAAAUACCACUGCCUGGAUGCUUGCUUUAAUCCAUAAAUGGAUUUCUUCAAACGACAGCCCAUUCUUUCUUUGCCUGUCACAACAAAACCUUUCGGUUGUACCAUGUAUACUCUUUCUUCUAGAUCCCCAUUGAGGAAAACUGUCUUCACAUCCAUUUGAUGCAAUUCUAGAUCAAAAUAUGCCACUAGGGCCAUUAUGAUUCUAAAAGAGUCCUUGCUCGAGAUGGGAGAGAAUGUUUCAUUAUAAUCUAUCCCUUCUCGUUGAGUAAAACCCUUGGCUACCAGUCUUGCUUUGUACCUUUCUAUGUUCCCCUUGGAGUCACAUUUCACCUUGUAGACCCAUUUGCAGCCUACUGUUUUGGCUCCUUCAGGAAUUUCCUCUAGGUCCCAAACUUUAUUGGUACUCAUAGACUUUAAUUCAUCUUCCAUGGCUUCUUGCCACUUAGAUGCUUCGGUGCUCCUCAUGGAGACUUUCUCGCUCUUUGAGGUCUACCAGAAGUUUCUGCUACUGGCAUUUCUUCUUGAGGUUGCUCUUGUUGGGGCUGUUGUUCUUCGACUAUGGGUUCAUUCGGCUCCUGAGGGACAGGUUCCAAAUUAGCCAUAGGCGAAAAAGCAGCAGGUGUUGUCACUACUGGUGUAGAUCCAACAACAACAGGCAGCGUAAAGUAGGGUUCUUGCACCAUGGGAAUGGGCACGAACACCCGCUUCUCUUCAAGGGUAAUUUCUCGCGCUGCCUUGCUCCCCCUGAUCAUCUGAUCUUCUAGAAAACUAGCGUGUCUCGUUUCCACAAACUUGGUAUGUCUACCAGGGCAGUAGAAACGAUAACCUUUCGACUUUUCUGGAUAGCCAAUGAAAUGACAACUUACUGUUUUAGGGUCUAGCUUUCCUAUGUUUGGGUUAAAUACUUUUGCUUCAGCAGGGCUCCCCCAGACACGCAGAUGGUUGACUGAGGGUUUCCUACUGGUCCACAACUCAUACGGGGUUUUAAGUACUGACUUGCUUGGAACUCUGUUGAGAAUAUGAAUGGCGGUUUUUAAAGCCUCCAUCCACAAACUCAGUGGCAGAGUGGAAUAGCUCAUCAUGCUGCGCACCAUAUCCAUUAGAGUACGGUUACGCCUUUCUGCUACUCCAUUCUGCUGUGGGUCCCCUGGCAUUGAAUACUGGGCUACUAUGCCAUUUUCCUGUAAGAACCUCGCAAAAGGUCCAGGAACUUGUCCAUAAGGGGUAUGUCGACCGUAGUACUCCCCCCCACGGUCAGAUCUUACUACUUUGAUUUUUCUGUCUAGUUGGUUUUCAACCUCAGCUUUGAAUAUCUUAAAUUUGUCUAAAGCUUCUGAGCGUUCUUUGAUUGGAUAGAUAUAUCCAAAACGAGAGUAGUCAUCUGUGAAUGUGAUGAAGGAAUCAAAACCAUCCACAGAUGUCACUGGAAAAGGUCCACAGAUGUCUGUGUGGAUCAAUUCUAGUACUCCUGUGCUUCGCUUAGCGCCUUUCUUUAUGUUCUUUACUAACUUGCCUUUAAUGCAAUCGACGCAUUGCUCUAACUCUGAGAGUUCUAGUGGUGGGAGGAUUGAUUCUUUGACUAAGCGUUCUAUUCUCCCCCUCGAAAUAUGGCCUAAACGACAGUGCCAUAAUUUCGAUGAGGAAUCAAUUCUCUUUCUUUUCUUGCUAGCAUUUACGGUCAUUGCAUUCUCAGCUUUAUUACAUUCAGCAUUCAUAGUCUCAGACAUGAAUAAUAAAUAAGGUUUGUCUUGUCGGAAGGCAAGACCCACAUAUUUAUUAUUUAACUAUAGCUUACAAUCAUCUUUGCUUGAAGGGAACAUAAAAGACAUCAUGUAAAACCCUUUGUCUAGGCAUUGACCUGAUUCUGCACUUUCUCGAGGUAUUCUUUUGCUGUGGGAUUGCACUAAUGAAGUGCAUCACUUGCUCUGAAAUAAUGACGAGAAGAUGGUGAGAACACCAACAUUUAAAACUUGGUAGAAUAAUUGAAUAUCUUAAUUGAACAUUGGUCAAAAUCAAGAUAUACAAAAAUUAACUCGCUGCAUAAAAUCUAAUCACCGUUGGGCAAAAUAGAAUUAAAUGCUUAAAAUUGGAACUUGGUAUUUACAAUAUUGCUAUUUUUAACGUUGGUCAAAAAAUAACGAUAUUACAAAAAUUUCUGGGCUUCGAACCUUGUUUCUCGAAUUAAAUAUCCCGUUGGUUCAAUUUAAUAAGAGAACUAAAAUGUCUUGCGCAGCGGAAAACGUAAAUUAACUUGCUAGAAUCGUAACUUGCUGUAACUUGGAAUUUGCAAUAUUGUUAUUAUUGACGUUGGUCAAAAAUUAACAAUAUUACAAAGAAUUCUGUGCUUGAAAACUCGGCUUCUCAAAUUAAAUAUCCCGUUGGUUCAAUUUAAUAUGAGAAUUAAAACUAUAACUUGCGCAGCGAAAAAUAUUAAUUUACUUGAUAUUUUCAGAAGCAUAUCUGGCUGACUGUGCUUUCUAAUUAAUAUACACUUUGGUGCAAAUUAAAUAGAAUUUAAAACUGAGCAAAAAACAAUUAUUCAAAAGCUUCUGAAAAUAAAAUGAAAAAGGUUACUGUGCUGGUUUGGGCCGGGGCGAACGAAGUGCCCCACAUCCACUUUCGGCUCAGCCCGGCUAGCGGCUCAGCAGCGCGCAGCGCCUAGCCCAGCCUGUGGCGAUUUUUUUUUCUUUCCCUCUCGGCCCAUCAAGCAAAGCGGCCCGCGCGCUCGCUCUCUGUCUGGGCUUGGCCCAGCUCGGCCGCCCGCUUGCUCCUCCCCGCGCCCAGGCCGCAACCUGGGCCUGGGCCGGGAAUCUGCGCCCCCGCCUGGGCCAUAUUUGGCCUGACGCAAUCGCGGCCGUUGAUCUGCAUCCGACGGCCCUCCUUUAUCUCGGGUGAACAAAAUCCCCCAGUUAGCUGCCACUGAAGCCCUAGCCCUCAUUCUUGCCUGCGCCCUCUCUCUGCGCACCGGACGGCAGGGAGCCGCCGCCGCCGGCACCGCGGCCAGCAGCAGGGCCACCGCCGGCGAUGGCCUUCUCUUGCUUGUUCUCGCUCGCGUCUCGCGUCUUCCUCUCCAGCCCGCGCCGCGCCCCGCAGUAAAACGCCACCGUAGCGGCAGCGGUUACCUUCGGCGGCCGGAGAAGAAUGGCGCCGCCGCGGCUCCUAUCGCUGGAGCGCGCGCUCCCCUUAGUGGGUGAGCGCGGCGCCGUCGAUGGGGUUCGCGUCGGUGCCCUGCGCUUGGGCUGUCCCUGCUGUCCGCCCCGUCGGCCAUGGUGGCGGCCGGCGGCGUGGUCGGAUGGACGAGCUCAGGUAGGAACGCCCCCUUUCCUUGUUGCUUUUAGGGUUAGGGUAUCGAAAUCCCCUUCCCCGAUCUGGGUCUUGUGCUAGGGUUGAGGUUUUGGAUCUGGACGCUAGGGUUAGGAAAAACUCGAUUUUCUGGGUAGGGUUGGGAUUUCGAAAAAUCCUCUCCUUCUACUUGCUGUUCUUUUGCUUUUCUCGUGCUUGUCUCGCGGGUGAAUCCCAAAUUCAAUCUAUAUGCUAGAUCGGCUCUGAUACCAUUGAUAGAAAUUUAGGAUCAUCUAGCAGUAGAAUAGAUCGGGAUUCGAGUACAACAAAUAUAGCAAAUAAACAUAGGCAGUAGAACUGCACUUGUAUGCAAUAGAUCUACUACACAUGGAGAGAAACAUAGAGGUUUAGGGGAUUAGGAUUAGACCGUCGAGGCGUCCAUGGCGUCGGUGUUGAGGCAGUGGUGGCGCUUCCCGACGCUGCUGCACUGGCCGAUCGGAUGGCACUAGGGUUAGAGUCGAGUGGGGCAAGCAGCAUGCUGUGGCGAACUUCCGCACCGUGCUUGCGGCCCCCACUUCUAUACUUAUAGUGCAACGCGCCAGGGGCCCACCACUCCAAUGGGUGGUUGAGCGCCCCCGAUCAGGGCUUGGUCAAAGGGGAACUGGCUCCAACCGUUGGGCUGGUUUAGAGAUCAACCUAACA